AGCGAACGCUGGCGGCAGGCUUAACACAUGCAAGUCGAGCGCCCCGCAAGGGGAGCGGCCGACGGGAGAGUAACACGUGGGAACAUACCUUUUGGUUCGGAACAACUGAGGGAAACUUCAGCUAAUACCGGAUAAGCCCUUACGGGGAAAGAUUUAUCGCCGAAAGAUUGGCCCGCGUCUGAUUAGCUAGUUGGUGAGGUAACGGCUCACCAAGGCGACGAUCUGUAGCUGGUCUGAGAGGAUGAUCAGCCUCACUGGGACUGAGACACGGCCCAGACUCCUACGGGAGGCAGCAGUGGGGAAUAUUGGACAAUGGGGGCAACCCUGAUCCAGCCAUGCCGCGUGAGUGAUGAAGGCCUUAGGGUUGUAAAGCUCUUUUGCCCGGGAAGAUAAUGACGGUACCGGGAGAAUAAGCCCCGGCUAACUUCGUG
rnacentral:rRNA from 1 species